GACAGAGGCCUCAAGCGUUAGGCGGAAUCACUGGGCUUAAAGCGUGUGUAGGCGGAUCGUUAAGUGUCUUGUGAAAUCCCACGGCUCACCCGUGGAACUGCUGGGCAUACUGGCGAUCUUGGGCCAACUAGGGGCAACUGGAACAAGCGGUGGAGCGGUGAAAUGCGUAGAUAUCGCUUGGAACGCCAACGGUGAAAACAGGUUGCUGGGGUUGUGCCGACGC
rnacentral:rRNA from 1 species